rnacentral:rRNA from 1 species
UACGGGGGGGGCAAGCGUUGUUCGGAAUUACUGGGCGUAAAGGGCUCGUAGGCGGCCAACUAAGUCAGACGUGAAAUCCCUCGGCUUAACCGGGGAACUGCGUCUGAUACUGGAUGGCUUGAGUUUGGGAGAGGGAUGCGGAAUUCCAGGUGUAGCGGUGAAAUGCGUAGAUAUCUGGAGGAACACCGGUGGCGAAGGCGACAUCCUGGACCAACACUGACGCUGAGGCACGAAAGCGUGGGGAGCGAACGGG